UACAGGGGGUGCAAGCGUUAUUCGGAAUUAUUGGGCGUAAAGAGCGUGUAGGCGGCUCGUUAAGUCUGGUGUGAAAUCCCCGGGCUCAAUCCGGGAAGUGCAUUGGAUACUGGCGAGCUAGAGUGCAGGAGAGGAUGGUGGAAUUCCUGGUGUAGAGGUGAAAUUCGUAGAUAUCAGGAGGAACAACAGAGGCGAAGGCGACCAUCUGGACUGUUACUGACGCUAAGGCGCGAAAGCGUGGGGAGCAAACAGG
rnacentral:rRNA from 1 species